UACGUAGGUGGCAAGCGUUGUCCGGAAUUACUGGGCGUAAAGGGCGUGCAGGCGGUCUGUUAAGUCUAGGGUGAAAGCUCCUGGCUCAACUGGGAGAGGUCCUUGGAUACUGGCGGACUUGAGGGAGGCAGAGGAAAGUGGAAUUCCCGGUGUAGUGGUGAUAUGCGUAGAUAUCGGGAGGAACACCAGUGGCGAAGGCGGCUUUCUGGGCCUUACCUGACGCUGAGACGCGAAAGCGUGGGGAGCGAACCGG
rnacentral:rRNA from 1 species